rnacentral:rRNA from 1 species
UUGAUAACGAGGCGGCUUGCCGCCGAAGUGAGUGAUACCCUGCUUCCAGGAAAAGCCACUAAGCUUCAGCUACACACGACCGUACCGCAAACCGACACUGGUGCGCGAGAUGAGUAUUCUAAGGCGCUUGAGAGAACUCAGGAGAAGGAACUCGGCAAAUUGACACCGUAACUUCGGAAGAAGGUGUGCCUUUAGUAGGUGAACCUGCACAAGGGGAGCCCAAUGAGGUUGCAAAAAAUCGGUGGCUGCGACUGUUUAAUAAAAACACAGCACUCUGCAAACACGAAAGUGGACGUAUAGGGUGUGACGCCUGCCCGGUGCUGGAAGAUUAAAUGAUGGGGUGCAAGCUCUUGAUUGAAGUCCCAGUAAACGGCGGCCGUAACUAUAACGGUCCUAAGGUAGCGAAAUUCCUUGUCGGGUAAGUUCCGACCUGCACGAAUGGCGUAACGAUGGCCACACUGUCUCCUCCUGAGACUCAGCGAAGUUGAAAUGUUUGUGAUGAUGCAAUCUCCCCGCGGAAAGACGGAAAGACCCCAUGAACCUUUACUGUAGCUUUGUAUUGGACUUUGAACAGAUCUGUGUAGGAUAGGUGGGAGGCUUUGAAGCAGGGUCGCUAGAUCUUGUGGAGCCAACGUUGAAAUACCACCCUGGUGUGUUUGAGGUUCUAACCUAGGCCCGUAAUCCGGGUCGGGGACAGUGCAUGGUAGGCAGUUUGACUGGGGCGGUCUCCUCCCAAAGCGUAACGGAGGAGUUCGAAGGUACGCUAGGUACGGUCGGACAUCGUGCUGAUAGUGCAAUGGCAUAAGCGUGCUUAACUGCGAGACUGACAAGUCGAGCAGAUGCGAAAGCAGGACAUAGUGAUCCGGUGGUUCUGUAUGGAAGGGCCAUCGCUCAACGGAUAAAAGGUACUCUGGGGAUAACAGGCUGAUACCGCCCAAGAGUUCAUAUCGACGGCGGUGUUUGGCACCUCGAUGUCGGCUCAUCUCAUCCUGGGGCUGUAGCCGGUCCCAAGGGUAUGGCUGUUCGCCAUUUAAAGAGGUACGUGAGCUGGGUUUAAAACGUCGUGAGACAGUUUGGUCCCUAUCUUCCGUGGGCGCUGCAAGAUUGAGAGAGCCUGCUCCUAGUACGAGAGGACCGGAGUGGACGCACCUCUGGUGUAUCGGUUGUCACGCCAGUGGCAUCGCCGAGUAGCUAAGUGCGGAAGAGAUAACCGCUGAAAGCAUCUAAGCGGGAAACUCGUCUCAAGAUGAGAUCUGCCGGGGCCUUGAGCCCCCUGAAGAGUCGUUCAAGACCAGGACGUUGAUAGGCUGGGUGUGGAAGCGCAGUAAUGCGUUAAGCUAACCAGUACUAAUUGCUCGUGCGGCUUGACCC